UAAUCUCUCCAUCUCCUCCUUGAGCUCUGCCACCAGGCUGAUCAGAUCCUCAACCUGCUCGCACCUCACACAGGUGGUAUCUCUUCCACCCUCUAUUGGCAGCAACAGACUCAGGCAAUCCCUGCAGCCAGAGCCAGAACAGCCACAUUUUUGGGCAGGCAUUCAAUGUGGGUUGCCACAGUCUUUUGGCAAGAGCUUUCUGCCUGGUGGAGGCCGUGGCUGGAUUUGCUGUCUGGGAGGCAGUCGAUAGGUGGUAGCUGUUGUUAUGGACUUUUGAUCUUUUAAGCAUUAGGCUCAUCAAACAAUGAAUUGCAUAAUGGGUGAGGUUGAAAGGGACCUCUGAAGAUCAUGUAGUCCAAUGCCUCUGCUGAGCAGGAUCACCUAGAGCACAUUGGACAGGAUGGCAUCCAAGCAAGUUUUGAAUAUCGCCAGAGAAGGAGACUGCACAACCUCUCUGGGCAACCUGUUCCAGUGCUCUGUCACCCGCACAGUAAAGAAGUACCCCCUCAUAUUGAGCCAGAACUUCCUGUGCUUCAGUUUGUGUGUUACCUCUUGACCUGUUGCUGGGCACAACUGAAAAGAAACCUGCUUCAUCCCCGUGACAUCCUCCCCUCGGAUAUUUAUACAUAUUAAUGAGGUCUCCCCUCAGUCUUCUCUUUUCCAGCCUAAACAUGCCCAGCUCCCUCAGCCUGUCAACAGGUGCUCCAGUCCUCCCAUCAUCUUCGUAGCCCUCCUCUGGACUCCUUCCAGUAGUUCUAUGUCUCUCUUGUACUGGGGAGCCCAGAACUGGACACAAUACUCCAGGUGUAGCCUCACCAGGGCUGAGUAGAGGAGGAGGAUAACUUCCCUUGACCUUCUGGCUCCCUUUCACUCCUAUGUCCCCUUUCUCCCUUUCUUUCUCUCUCUCUUUUUUUUUUUUUUUUUUUUUUUCCUCCAUCAAUCCUAUACACUUCAGCAUUAACUUGUGCUUGAGUCAGACUCUAAAAGCUCCUAGUUGCUGUGUUUCUACUAAAUCCAGAUACUCCAGUUAACUAAAAAUGCAUUUGCAAUGUCAUUUGCCAUCACUUCAGCCGUGUCCAAGAAUGUAAACAUUUUUACUCAAAAGUGAUGGCAAGGAUUUUCUUCAGGUAACUUUAGAGGUACAGAAUUUAAGCUGAUGAUCUGGAGAUGAAUGUUUUUCUAUCUCUUUGCCAUAUCUAGACCAUGCUCCAAAAGGUCGCCAUGAAACACACCAACAGGGGAGACAUAAUAAAAGCUGCAAAAUAUGUUAAUUUCUGUAAUAAUUCCUUCUCUUAGAUGUAAAAUUGUUAAAAUAAAACUCAGUAGAUAAGUGACAAGUCUAGAGAUAAUACAGCCCCCAGCAACAGACCAGUGAUUGAUUGAUGUGUUACAUAUUACCUAAAAAUAAAAAUGGUCCUCACAUCUUUCCUCCUACAGACUAGAUGUUAAUCUUAGCUGUGUUCUGGUCUAGCCCCCUGUCACAGAAAUAUUCUAGAACAAUUCGAAAAUUAGAAAACAAUCUUCUAUCCUGUUCAUGUUAAUAAGAGAAUGUCACCUUUUCCCAGUUAACUGCAGAAAAUAUAUGUUUCUGUCACACAGGAAAUUUUUGUAAGGAAAAAAAGAGACACAUCCAAAAUCAAGCAGAAGGAAGAAUGUACUAUAUUUAGUUGGCAAGGAAAUCUAUA